UGGUUGGUUUUCAAGCCGUGGGACUGCCUUUUGAUUGGUUGGUUUUUAAGUUGCAGGACAGGCUUCUGAUUACCCCUUGCUCUUCUUAUCUGGUUAAUUGGUUGGAAGGCCCAGGGACUCUCCAGCCCUUUAUCAGGAAGUAACUUGUGGUUAUGUCCCCCCGGCCUGUCAAGUCCAUCUCGGCUUCACUUAAGUAGGUAACAAGGCUUCCAGGCUCUCUUCAACGCCUCCAAGCUCCCCUUUCUCCAAACACAAAAGGAAGACGAAAACUACAAAUCCCCAUCUGCCCACCCUGCAGUUCCUGGGAAGAGACAGUCCUCAAAUUGUUCCUGCCUAGACCCCUGAAGCCUGGAGAAGGAGAUGGGGACAGGUGUGGCAGCGGGCGAGGAAGGACGUCCAAUGAGGGGACAGACGGGAGAAGGGACAUGGAGAGGAGGGGUCAGCGGAGAUAAAACAGUGAGGGGGAUGAGAAGGAAGAGCAAAAAAACUGGGAGAAAGGAGUGAGGAUCACAGAAGAGAGAGAAAGAUAAAAUAGGAUGAUGGGGACCCUGCUUCCUGCACUGUGUGGCUUGCGUCUUGCACCGACAGCACUGGUGACAGCGCCAGUCUCACUCUUGGCCAGUGGCAAACAUUCCCAUCUCUUUUGUUUCUCCACUCCUCAGCAGUUGAGAAUAGGAAUUAAUCAAUGUCUCAUAAUGAAAUGGGAUGUUUCAAAAUGUUACAUUAAAGCUCAAUUCCACCAUUGAAAA